UAGGUUUGGGAGACCUGGGUGACCUACGAAAGUUAAUUAGAAGGUUAACAAAGACUAAGGCAGAGUAGAAUACCGCGCCUCUCCUCCAGCCAAAGAUGUCAUCCAUUAAUUAGGGAAAUCGUUAAGGUGGCCUUUAUUGAAUCCAUAGAAAAUCGGGAGUCGGCGGUCGACAGUUUUGAUCAGAUUUUCCUCUCCCCAGUAAUACUACCCUUAAUCGUAGGAGCAGCGGAGGGCUCGAGGCGGGACGGGAGGGCGCGGGGGGAAAGUGUGUGUGCGUGUAGGGGGAGUGUGUGUUUCAGCGACAUUACAGUUAAACAGCCGCCGAUUGUGACGGCUUUGAUUCUCAGGCUUACAUGGCAUACUUUGUCCAUGAUGUAAUCUUUAUUGAACCUGGAAGCUUGGGGGUGGGGGGCAGGGGGCAAGUGAAACUCACUGCCGCUCAGCCGCAGGAAGCUCGGGGAGUUAAUAUUGCAGUCAUCAUAGGCAGGGUUGGUGCUUUGGCAUGUACCAAAGUGGUGUUGCUAUGGAGAAUUCCAAGUACAGUGUUGGACAAUCACGGCCUUUUAACCUCUGCCAUGGACAGUAACUACAGCCAGCAUGUCGUCCAUGCUUUAACCAAGAAACGGGCAUAGCAUGGAAAGCAGUGCUCCAUUGGAAGGUGAAAAGCCAUCACCUUCAAGAGGAGGAAGGCAACGACAAGAUCAACCACAGUCCAGGAUGGUUGUGUUAAAGCCAUGUUGUCCCUGCUCCAAUGUCCUGGAGUCUAUGGGCUGGAGGCAACGCUUUAAGAGUUUUAACAAAUGUGGAAUUGCAAUGUUUGGACGUCUGGAGGUCUAUAUCCUAUGUACCACAUGGUACAAAAUGUGCUGGAAUUAAAAAAAAAAAAAAAAAGAAAAGGAGUAAUAAUACUUUAACUGACUGGUCUUAGGGAGAAAUCACACAGUUUCAGGCUGUUAGACACUAAUAAGUUACUAAAAAAUCUUACACUUAUUCUUACAUUUCAUAUUAUGGUUGAAAGCUUCUGCUUGUUAACAUGAAUCUCUCCAUUGCAAAGUAUUCAGAUGUUAAAUACCAAGAAAAUAUGACUACGUUUUAGAACUAAAUGUUAGCCUGAAAUGCACAGGGCACACUUUGGCCUUACUGCCUACAUCUUUCUGUGCACUGCAGUAGAUAUUAUUUCACUUUUUAUAUAAGCUACAAUUCAAGUUCCCCCCCUCAAAGAUAUUUCAGCCUUUACUUAGUACCUCAUUAUUUUAAUAUAUUCAACUGAAAGCAGCAAAUAUGAGCACAGGAGCAGCAGCAAAGAAAUGCCAAGCUGCUUCCUGCACGCUCCACACCAUCACUCAGCUUGUCUGUGUCCUUCUUCCUGUGUUAAAGGGAGGUGUGGCAAGGCUUCUCCAUGAGCAAGGCUUUCCCCAUGCUUUGAAGAGCUCAAAGAGAACUGGGAUUUGGCUUGGAGAGACGAUGUGCUCCCACAGCUCUGUUUUGGUCAUUUUUUCUCUUUUAGGCUAAGAGACAAACUAACUCACCCAUUGUGUAGCUGCUGAGGUCUCCAGAUAAAGUGCUAUAAGAGUGCCACACACUAUUAUUCUUUUAUUAUGGAGCAGCCAUAGCUUUUCAAGAGUUAUUGUGGAUUUUUAUAUGUUUUCCUAUUGCCUUUUGUCUUCUAGUAGCAGUCCUGUGGUUUUGAGAGCUUC